GGCCCCGUAGCUCAGCUGGAUAGAGCGUUCCCCUCCUAAGGGAAAGGUCGCACGUUCGAAUCGUGCCGGGGUCGCCA
rnacentral:tRNA from 1 species